AACGAACGCUGGCGGCAUGCCUAACACAUGCAAGUCGAACGAGACCUUCGGGUCUAGUGGCGCACGGAUGCGUAACGCGUGGGAACCUGCCCUUAGGUUCGGAAUAACUCCCCGAAAGGGGUGCUAAUACCGGAUAAUAUCUUCGGACCAAAGAUUUAUCGCCUUUGGAUGGGCCCGCGUUGGAUUAGCUAGUUGGUAGGGUAAAAGCCUACCAAGGCGACGAUCCAUAGCUGGUCUGAGAGGAUGAGCAGCCACACUGGGACUGAGACACGGCCCAGACUCCUACGGGAGGCAGCAGUGGGGAAUAUUGGACAAUGGGCGAAAGCCUGAUCCAGCAAUGCCGCGUGAGUGAUGAAGGCCUUAGGGUUGUAAAGCUCUUUUACCCGGGAUGAUAAUGACAGUACCGGGAGAAUAAGCACCGGCUAACUCCGUG
rnacentral:rRNA from 1 species